rnacentral:rRNA from 1 species
UAAUAUGAAAGGAGUUAUCUGCAAAGUGCAGAACAAGAGGGGGCUUUGGGCUUUGCAACUAUGACCAGAUGGAUAUUGUAGGGGGUAAAGCUUCUAGACGAGAUCCUAACUGGUUGAGAAUAUUACGCACAUAGAAUGAGAUAGUCCAGAAUCUACGGGAAGGAAGAGUUGGAAAUUUUAAAGGGGCAACCUGAACAGAAAGCGGUUAUGAAAAGGCCUCGGGUUUAAAUCUUUCACGGGGAGGAAGCUUUAGUUAAUAACUUGGCGAUUCCGUUCUGCUAAGAAGCACUGGCUCCUCCGUGCAGCAGAGCGGUAAACGGAGGGUUAAGUGUUAAUCUGAAUUACUGGGCUAAAGAGCACGCAGGAUGUUUGUUAAGUUGGUUGUGAAAUCCCCGGGCUCACCUGGGAACUGCAUUUGAAACUGGCAAGUUUGAGUCUUGUAGAGGGGGGUAGAAUUCCAGGUCAGCGGUGAAAUGGGUAGAGAUGGGGAGGAAUCCCGGUGGGCGAAGGCGGCCCCCUGASAAAGACUGMCGYUCAGGUGCGAAAGCGKGGGGAGCAAACGAUUMAUUAGAUMCCCUGGUAGUCCACSCCGUAAACGMUGUCKYWYUUSCGCAGGUUGUGCCCYUGAGSCGUGGCUUCCGGAGCUAMCGCGUUAARUCGACSGACCUGGGGAGUACGGCCGCAAGGUUAAAACUCAAAUGAAUUGACGGGGGCCCGCACAAGCGGUGGAGCAUGUGGUUUAAUUCGAUGCAACGCGAAGAACCUUACCUACUCUUGACAUCCAGAGAACUUUCCAGAGAUGGAUUGGUGCCUUCGGGAACUCUGAGACAGGUGCUGCAUGGCUGUCGUCAGCUCGUGUUGUGAAAUGUUGGGUUAAGUCCCGCAACGAGCGCAACCCUUAUCCUUUGUUGCCAGCGGUUCGGCCGGGAACUCAAAGGAGACUGCCAGUGAUAAACUGGAGGAAGGUGGGGAUGACGUCAAGUCAUCAUGGCCCCUUACGAGUAGGGCUACACACGUUGCUACAAUUGGCGCAUACAAAAGAGAAGCGACCUCGCCGAGAGCAAGCGGACCCUCAUUAAGUGCGUUCGUAGUCCGGAUUGGAGUCUGCAACUCCGACUCCAUGAAAUCCGGAAUCCGCUAGUAAUCGUAAAAUCAAAAUGCUUACGGUGAAUACGUUUCCCGGGUCUCUUGUACAUCACCGACCCGUUCA